rnacentral:tRNA from 1 species
CCAUCGGUGGUUCAGUGGUAGAAUUCUCGCCUGCCACGCGGGCGGCCCGGGUUCGAAUCCCGGCCGAUGCA